ACUGAUGAAUUAUUAAUGAAUGAUUAUAAAAGAAUUUUGAUCAUACGAUACAUCAAACGUUUGUUUAUAUUCUUACAACAUCAAAACAAUGCAAUUUGUUGUCCCGUGCAUCGCACGGGUACAAUUACUAGUUAUAUUAUAUAUGUAUAUGUAUCUAGCGUAUGUGUGUGUGUUUGUUAGUCAAAGAAGGUGGCAAAUUAAAUUAUUAUUUAAUAAACUUCACAUGGCACUUAGUUGAGUUUUACACUCUUCCUUCUCCUUCUUCUUCCAACACCUAACCCCCUUCUUGUCUUCCUCUCUCCAUUCCACCGAAACCUCAUGAUCACCACCACCUCCAUUCUUCAUCUUCUUCCACAUCAACUCCUAUUUUUCAAAGAAAAUGAAAAAUAAAUUUCAAAGUCAUCUAUUUAACCAUGAACUUGUAGUAGCCUAGAACACCAUUCUCCAAAUAAAAGUAUACAUCUCACUUGAAAAUCAACCUUUGAAGCACUUCCCGUCGAUUUUUCCUUCAUUUUCUUUCGGUUUUAAGGUAAGAAAUUCUGAUUUCUUGCUGCAAUUAAAUGGCAUCAAUAGUAUUAAAAUGGUUUUCAAAAUUACUUAAAAGAUUGGGGAAGAUUUUGAAGAAAUUAGUACUUUUGUGGAAAAAUGGAAAAUAUGUGUUAAUUGUUGAUUUCUUGUUCUUGCAUGCAUCAUCUAUGUUGAUAGUGGGUAGAUACAAGUUUUAUUGGCCAAAAUCAUAAAAAAAUUCGAAUUUCAAAAAGGGUUUUCAAGAAAAAUGAAUUUUUGAACUUUAUGGGGUUGCAUGUAUAGAUCUUCAAAAGUUUUGGGUCAAAUCUAUAAUUUUUGAGAAGUCAGUCCUAAAUGUGUUUUCAAAACUGUUCUCCAGCAUUUAUUGAACAAGAAUUUCGGAUUUAGGUGGUGUUUGCAAAUGAUUAUUUAAGUGAUUAUGCGGUUUUUUUUUUGCUCAUAAUCUGUUUUUAAGUGUUUGCAAAAUCAACUUUUGCUUCUGCUUCUCUUAAAAUAAUCUGCUUUAAGCUAUUUUUUUAAAAGCACCCAUAACCCUGCUUUUUCAAUUUUAGUUCAUUUUCCGAAAUAUUUGCAAACACCCCCAACUUUUAGAACUAAGCACUUAAAACUAACUUAAAUCACAAUCACUAACUUCUGCUUUUAAAUAAUCAUUUGCAAACACCACCUUAAAGGUGUUUUGUAAGAAAAAGUGAUUUUUGAACUUCUAGUGGCCUUGCAUGUAUUGAUCUAGAAAUUUUGGGGUAAAAUUUGUAAUUUUCGAAAUUUCUGCAUAAAGUGACUUUCUAACUUUGUUUUCUACAUAUAUUGAAUCAAAAUUUCAGAUUGUUAUGGAAUUUUCAUGAAAAAGUGGAUUUUGAACUUCUAGUGUGGUUGCAUGUGUAAAUUUUGAAACUUUGGGGUCAAAACUAUAAUUUCCGAAAAAUCUGUCAUUUUUAAUUUUUUUGAAAUCUAUUUUCCAGUAGGUAUUAAAUGAGGAAAGAGUUUUCUUUACAAAGUUUUCAAAGUAAUUAAGGUCACAUGAGAGUUUUAGAUUUUUAAAAGAAAAAUGGAAUUUUUGAGUUUUUAAGUUCAAGAAAAUUCGAAACUUUGUGAAAAUUUAAAAUAAUUUCAGAGUCUGAAAUUUGGGUCUGUUAGGAGUUCUAGGAUUUAAUUUGGGAAUUUUUGGAAUUAGUUUGCUAUUAUUUCAAAAUUAGGAUAAAUUGCAUGUCAUUUAUUAUGUUUUGUGCUUUUAUUUCCAUAUCUUUGAAUUAAUAAUUGUGAGUAAUGAACUUUGGGAUUUUGUACUUUUAAUUGCUGCCUGGAUGUGGAUUAAUUGCUGUGAGAAUUUAUUGGAAUGAAUUAUUACCUAGAAGUGGUAAUAAGUUCGUUAGAUGAAAGAUGAGAAAGGGGUGCAUGGUUUGAAUGUUACAUGGUGAUGUUUUAAUGUGUUGGCUGCAUGUGUGUGCAUGUGUGUGUGCUGAUUGUGCAUGUGGUGUGUGCCGUUUGUGGUUGUGUGUUAUAUGUGUGAAUUUGGGGAUUUUUGCCCAAAUUAUAAAUAUGUGGUGAAUUGUGAUAUUUGUGUGAUUUUGUGGCACUUGAUUGAUAUUUGUGAUGUUACGUGUGGGUCAUAAGCAUAAUUUUGAAAAGAUGCAUUUCACGGUUUUUUUUAAAUUGGAAGGUUAAUGGAAUACCGGGUAAUAAACAACUAUAGAGGGCCGGUAUCCAACUAGGAUGAAAUGAUGUGGUUUGAUCCCACUUAGUGAAAACGGGCUCGUAACAGGUUUAUUAUCCAGGUACAGAAAUUAAUCUUUCACGGAUCCGAUAAAACGAAAAAUGUGUUUUUCAUGAUUUUCAUAAAAAGGGCAUUUUAGUCAUUUUGCAUAAGUACGUGAUUUUGUGUGAAUGAUGUGUUUUCGUGAGUUAGGUGAGUUGAUCGUUUGUCUUAUGUUGUUGUGCGGAACGUGGGUAAGAAUGGGUAUAUAAUAUUAUAUAUUAUGUAUAACGUAUUUUCAAAGUUCGAUAUUUCAUCGAAUUUCUUACUGAGCUUUAUAGCUCAUAUAGGUGUCUUUUAAUUGCAGGUAAUAGCGUUAGAAAUCCUCAAUCGGAAUGGAUCGAGUAGUGGAUCGAGGUCUUGCCCGGGUGUUUUGGAAGUUGUACGAGGACCUAUGAACGAUGCUAAAGUGUUUUGGUUAUUCUCUUUUGGUGAUGUAAUAAUAAACCUAACUACUUUCCUUUUCGUACCUUUUAAACUCACUACCGGUAUGAAUCGUACUAAACUCCUAUUAUAAAAUAGUCUGUUUCGUAAUUUUUGCUAUUUUCAUGCCUCCGUUAGAAAUUUCUGAAUUAUUCACCAAAAUAACCUUUCCAAACUCUGAUUUCUUGUCGAACCGAAAGCCGAUAGUGAUAAUGUAGCACUCGAACGAAAAACCUCCCCUCGAAACUUAUUUCCAAACGAAACCUUUAUUUGGCUAAAGUAACCUAAGAGAGUUUUCGAAAAAUGCAAAGUUUUAAUAAUUGCAUUUUGGUCCCAUUCCAAAGUUUUAAAAAUUACAAAGCGAUCCUUUGCUUCCGCUAGUUUAAUGAACAUUCCGAUAAACCGGUUCGAUUUAUCGCCCGACUUGAAGGAGGGUGCUACAGCGAUAGUUAGGGGUGCAAGUUGGAACGGAUUUUCCAAUUUCCG
rnacentral:lncRNA from 1 species